GAGAGUACGGAAUGGAACACGUACAAUUUGCGCACCGUGUACCGCCGUUAUCGCCAGCGCAAGAAAGUGAAGGAGGACGACGAAACGACAGAAUCGCAAUUUCCCGCGGUCGGCGUCCACGAAACGACGAGGAUUCUGGACUCGACUUUUGACAGCGCAAGAAUACGACGCGAGGAAAUCCUAAGAGAAAAGUCACCAGCGCAUGGGACGAAAGAAGAACGCGUCGCUGUGGAACUGCGGGACGACUCGAGGCAGCAGCGAAAGGAACUGGAGA